rnacentral:rRNA from 1 species
UUGGGUGGAUUAGUGGCGAACGGGUGAGUAAUACGUGGGUAACCUGCCCUCCUUUUUGGGAUAAGCCUUGGAAACGGGGUCUAAUACCGAAUAUUCUGGCGCUCUCGCAUGGGGGUGUUGGGAAAGCUUUUGUGUGAAGGGGGAUGGGCUCGCGGCCUAUCAGCUUGUUGGUGGGGUGAUGGCCUACCAAGGCGGUGACGGGUAGCCGGCCUGAGAGGGUGACCGGCCACAUUGGGACUGAGAUACGGCCCAGACUCCUACGGGAGGCAGCAGUGGGGGAUAUUGCACAAUGGGCGAAAGCCUGAUGCAGCGACGCCGCGUGGGGGAUGAAGGCUUUCGGGUUGUAAACCUCUUUCGCUAUCGAACAAGGCCCGCUUAGGGUGGGUUGAGGGUAGGUGGAGAAGAAGCGC